AUAGCUCUGCAUCUCCAGAGAGGAUGCUAGCCAGUGAAUUCUGGUCCCAGUACCACCACUACUGCAUACCUUAGAAAACAAAUAUCAUGGCUGGCCCUCUGCUAUUGGACACUAGAUACUGUUGCCACUCCUGAAAUGGAUGGAUUCUCAUCAUUAACUCCUGAUGGCCACGAGAAAUGUGCACCCUGGAAAGGAAAAGCAUCCUGCUGGCGAAGACUUCAGGGCUUGCUGACUCAUGACCUUUCAAAGUGCAGAGCACGGCACGGUGGUGGCACCAUCUGUUUCAUUUUCCACAACUGAAGUCAGACCCUCCUUUGUCAUGUAUUCGUGUCAUUGACUGAAUUCUCUGCUGUGAUACUUUAGACAAUACUACCAGAAAUGAUCCAUUAAACUUCAGUUG
rnacentral:lncRNA from 1 species